GUUCCCAUAGCUCAACUGGAUAGAGUAGCGGUUUCCUAAACCGUUGAUGGGGGUUCAAUUCCCUCUGGGGACGCCA
rnacentral:tRNA from 1 species